UCACAAUACCUACUCUCACAAAAUUUUCUUUUUAAUUUCAUUCACUUUCCCCUCCGCUCUUGCAAUUCCUCUCUAGUGCGACUCAUCUUCUUCAAAUCGGUUGAUUUUCGGUGUUCCUGCAUAUGUUUUCACCUUCGUUGCGGUUACUCCUAUUUCAAUUUGCUAGGUUGAUCUGGUAAUUUCCUCCUCCAAUCAUCCUAGAGAGCCUCCCAGAAGAUCAAAAUCAGCAGCCACCUAUCAAUCUUCAUGACUAACAGAAAUGCAAGUUCAGCAAGAGAAGAUGACAUGCGCGAUUUAAAAGAUCUGUCUGUUUUUGAGAUGCCCGGAAACAGAGUUGAUACUGAUCAAAUGAGUACGCUAAUAGGGAAUACAUGUUCUAAAGUGCGUACUGCGUUGCAAGAAACUCAAAUUGUAGAACCAUAACCAUAAUAGAGUUAGUUCCUCGAGUUUGUGUCUAUUUUUCUUUCAGCAUGGUUAAAUUGAUCCUUGGGAGGUACCAGAUUCUGCUCAUCCAAGAACUAUAAUCAUCUAAUAUACUAACAUAUACCAUCACACUGUAUUUUUACUUGGAUCGGGUUGGAUUGUUUGGUACCUCCCUGGAAUUUGUGUGAUAUUCCUCUGGAUAUUCCUAGCCGAAGUUUAAUUUGUAAACUUACAUUGUUCUGUUUCUUCUCACUCAUCUAUAGUUGAUUGGCUUCUUUUACCGACAAAGCAGACCGCUACCCAACAAUAGUGUUUCGAGGAUCGACAUGCCUUUGAACUUCAGUGUGUCCUUGAAUUCUUCCACAUUUCCACAUCCGAAUGAGUUAUCAGCUCCAACAUCUCCCUGGAAUGCGUCCAAGAGGAUUUUGAUGGAGCUCAAGGAGAAAGAUCCUCCUACUUCUCGAACUGAUGUCACAUUAAUCCUCUGGAGACAAGCUGGUCUGAUUAUCCUUUGGAGAGACUAAUUCUGAUAUAUGAUGUUGUUUCCAAUUCUAUAUAUUCUGGCAGAGAUGAGAUUAUUGAGUGGGAUAAGGAAGUUAAACAACUAGGUAAGGCACUCUUGGGCUAUUCUCUCAAGGAUUGGGAGUGGAGGCUGAUAAGUUGAAAGAGAAAUCAUGUUCAGGAGACAGAGUUAUGGCCGGCCACUAUUAUCCAUAUUGUCCCCAGCUCAACAAGACAGUUCGGAACUUGUGAUCGCAUCCCAUACUGAUCCUGGCGUUCUCACACUGUUGCUGCAGGAUCAAUUUGGUGGGUUGCAAGUUAAACUUGAGGGGAAAUGGGUUAAUGUCAAGCCAAUCCAAGGUGCACUUGUUACCAAUGUCGGCGACUUGCUUUAGCUCCUCUCGAAUGAUAAGUACAUGAGUGUAGAACACCGAGCGUAUGCUAAUCCUCAGCAAGAACCACGAGUCUCAGUUGUUGUGUUCUUUAACCUAAGCACGAGGGAAAACUUGUACGGACCCCUACCAGAGAUAGUAUCACCUGAAGAGCCUGCACUAUACAACCAUCGAAUUAUUCCUCGGUGCAAGAUUUCAACCAAGAAUGAAUUAAAUCGUUAAUGCACUAAACAUCGAGAUGUGAGGAUGAAAAUUAUUGUUCAAAGGCUGGAGUUGAAACAAGUUCAAGUGGUGGUCAAGCCUGCUGAUAAAUCAGUGGAACGGCUGAAAGACUACAUCAAUGUUAGAGCAUGGAGGGGUUAAGUUUGUCAAAGAGAGGGGAAAUCGGGUUUUGAAGUGUUGUAGGUCUUUUCCCAGUAUGUUGACAUCCUAGAGUUUUGUGGUGUUCCACCAAUACAACUAGAGAGGCGGUUGCAUGAGGUACUUGAAGCAAGACAAGAACUACGGAUAACAGAACUCGAAGCACAUCUAGAACGCAUGAAGCAAAGGCUUGAGAAGGAGGUAGAAGUCACUUGGUGGAAAGACACUGUAUCCUCUGCAAAAGAAUGGCAUGGAUUCCCGAUAUUAUGUAAUGAGAUUCAUUUAAGAGAUGCUUGACCAUAAGCAAACUCGAAUAUUUGAAAGAUUACUUUCAUGAUUGCAAUAUUCCGAAUUAUGAUCAAGAACAGAUUGAUGAAGUCAUAGCUCAAUGGACUCGUCGUGUUCUUCUCGUGUGAAUACUGUGGUGGAUUAAUUGUAUUUUUAUUCUAAUUUUAGUGUGUUGAUUUGAAAUUAAAAGAAGUAUUAUAUAACAUAGAUACUUCUUUCUUUUUUCUAUUUUUUUUCCUAGUGUGUUUAAUUAGGUAACAUUGCAUAUGAUUUUAAGUUAUGGGACAUGAGACGUUUAUUUGAUAUGAUAGAAAUGAAAUUAGAUGUUAUGUAUAUAUAUUCAAUUUUUUUUU